GACGAAGGAUCCAAGCGUUAUCCGGAUUUAUUGGGUUUAAAGGGUGCGUAGGCGGCUUGAUAAGUCAGUGGUGAAAGCCUGUUGCUUAACAACAGAACUGCCAUUGAUACUGUCAAUCUUGAAUAUGUUUGAUGUGGGCGGAAUAUGACAUGUAGCGGUGAAAUGCUUAGAUAUGUCAUAGAACACCGAUUGCGAAGGCAGCUCACAAAGCCAUUAUUGACGCUGAGGCACGAAAGCGUGGGGAUCAAACAGG
rnacentral:rRNA from 1 species